AUUGAACGCUGGCGGCAUGCCUUACACAUGCAAGUCGAACGGCAGCACGGGAGUAAUCCUGGUGGCGAGUGGCGAACGGGUGAGUAAUGUAUCGGAACGUGCCCAAUCGUGGGGGAUAACGCAGCGAAAGCUGUGCUAAUACCGCAUACGAUCUAUGGAUGAAAGCGGGGGAUCGCAAGACCUCGCGCGAUUGGAGCGGCCGAUAUCAGAUUAGCUAAUUGGUGGGGUAAAAGCUUACCAAGGCGACGAUCUGUAGCUGGUCUGAGAGGACGACCAGCCACACUGGAACUGAGACACGGUCCAGACUCCUACGGGAGGCAGCAGUGGGGAAUUUUGGACAAUGGGCGCAAGCCUGAUCCAGCAAUGCCGCGUGCAGGAUGAAGGCCUUCGGGAUGUAAACUGCUUUUGUACGGAGCGAAAAGGCUCUCUCUAAUACAGGGGGCUCAUGACGGUACCGUAAGAAUAAGCACCGGCUAACUACGUGCCAGCCGCCGCAGUAA
rnacentral:rRNA from 1 species